rnacentral:rRNA from 1 species
UCUGGUAAUGAUGGCAGAGAGGUCACACCCGUUCCCAUACCGAACACGGAAGUUAAGCUUUC